CUUUGCCGGGCUUAAAAUCAGAAUACUAUAGGUAGAUCUGAUUCUCUGCAAAACCCUACACAGAUCGAAGAGGGGAAAAACAAGAAUCAUGGCGGAGCACUUGGCCUCCAUAUUCGGAACGGAGAAGGACAGAGUGAACUGUCCUUUCUACUUUAAGAUCGGAGCCUGCAGGCAUGGCGAUCGCUGCUCUAGGCUUCACACUAAGCCCAGCAUCAGCCCUACUCUUCUCCUCUCCAAUAUGUACCAGCGCCCUGAUAUGCUCACUCCCGGCGUAGAUCCUUCAGCGCAAUCUCAGUCCCUUGACCCCCGCAAGACACAAGAUCACUUCGAAGAUUUCUAUCAGGAUCUUUUUGAGGAGCUCAGCAAAUAUGGAGACAUCGAGAGCUUAAAUAUCUGUGAUAAUCUCGCUGAUCACAUGGUGGGUAAUGUUUAUGUUCAGUUCAGAGAAGAAGAACACGCAGCGAAUGCCCUUAACAAUCUAAAUGGGAGGUUUUAUGCAGGGCGCCCAAUCAUUGUUGACUUCUCUCCUGUUACGGAUUUCCGUGAAGCUACAUGUAGGCAGUAUGAGGAAAAUGUAUGCAAUCGAGGUGGCUACUGCAACUUCAUGCAUCUGAAGAAAAUUAGCAGGGAGUUAAGGAGGCGCUUAUUUGGGCGGAAUAGGCGAAGACGUAGCCGCAGUAGAAGCCAUAGCCCUAGCAGGCACCGUGGUUAUGAAGAACGCUCUCACAAUAGCCGCAAUUCUGGUAGACUAGAUGAUGAUAGGGAUCAUCAACAUGAGAGGGGCAGGAGGCAUAGAAGCCGAAGUCCUGGACGCAGAGGAGGGCGAAGCAGAAGUCCUGCUGGAAGGAGGAAUAGAAGUCCUCCUGUUAGAGAGAGCAGUGUUGAAAGAAGGGCUAAGAUUGAGCAGUGGAACCGGGAGAGAGAACAGACAGAAUCUGGUAAUAGAGACAGCCAAAAUCUCAACAAUGACAGGAACAGCAAUGGUGAUGCAAAGAAUGGAGGUCAUUACGAUGAUCCUCGGUAGGAUCUCGGUGGAUGUAAAUGCUGACCCCCUGGAAUCUUCGGGUGGAGUACAGGUUCACUGUCAUGUGUUAUGAAAGUGAAUAACUUUUCCUUAUAACUGCUUGAUAGAUUAAAAGGAAGAGAUAUAAAAAAUAAUUUUAAUAAAAUGAGAAGGAAAUGGACCAAAAAAUGGGGGGAAAAGUCCUUCAUAUUCCUUACAGGUUCAAAUCUUCUUUUUGUUCUGCAAGGUGUUUAGGGUUUUUUGGACCUUUAAAUGAAUUUUUUUCCCCUUCUAAAAUCAUCCAAACUAAAUCAGUUUUUGUUAUUUGUUUUCUUUUGAAAUCCCAAAAGAGGUGUUUAAAUAUUCUUUUGAUGAGAUGGUACUGUUUUUUUAACUCUUUGCAAUACCAUUUCCAACUAAAAGAACACAGGAGGAGGCUUUAUCUGCUCAGUUUACCUAUCUCCUUAUAGUCGAUUGCAGGCAGGCAUGGGUUGGCUGUUUAUCUGCAGAGCGUGUUUGCAGGAUUCUAGUGUUGUGGAAGGAUUGAGAAAGUCCCUCGACCUUUUGUAAAAUCAAGAGAACAGCUAAUAUACAAGGGGGAAACGCCUGACAUAAUACUUUGCCAUACCAAGAUCCAACUACUGUUUAGACAUUAAGUUUGUGGAAUGUGAGCAGCAACUAUUUUUUUUUUUCAGCUAUUAAAACAUCGUUGAGAUUUUUUGAUAUAUUUGUCUUUGGUUUGGCAUCAUGUGAAUGAGCUUGUGAGCUGUGACCAAAAGAAUACAUUUAAAAAAACCUUGCUUGCUUAGUCUUGAA